GAUUAACGCUGGCGGCGUGCAUAACACAUGCAAGUCGAACGAAGUGGCGGACGGGUGAGUAACGCGUGAGUAACCUGCCUUAGAGUAGGGGAAAGCCUAUGGAAACGAAGAAUAAUACCCUAGGCUUUAAGUUGGACUUGCGUCUGAUUGGUUAGUUGGUGGGGUAACGGCCCACCAAGACUGCGAUGAGUAGCCGGCUUGGGAGAGUGUACGGCAACACUACGACUGGGAGAAGUGCCAAACUCUAGGGGAGGGAGCAGUGCGGAAGUUUCCACGCUGCGGGAAACACGGAUGCAGCCACGCCGCGUGAUUUAGACGGUCUUGAGGUAGGAAAAAACUUUUCUAUGGGAGGCAGUACCAUAAGAAUAAGGACCGGCUAAUUACGUGCCAGCAGCCGCGGUAAUAC
rnacentral:rRNA from 1 species